rnacentral:tRNA from 1 species
GCCCACGGUGGCUCAGAUGGAUAGAGCGUCUGCCAUGUAAGCAGGAGAUCCUGGGUUCGAGUCCCGGUCGGGGCA